rfam:Schistosoma margrebowiei strain Zambia genome assembly, scaffold: SMRZ_scaffold0003917
AGCUUUCUGAAUCCGUGCAGAGAUUUCGUCAGACACCAACUCAUUAGGGCCGACCAGACCUACAAGAUAAGUGAAGUU